rnacentral:rRNA from 1 species
AGUGAACGCUGGCGGUAGGCCUAACACAUGCAAGUCGAACGGCAGCACAGUAAGAGCUUGCUCUUACGGGUGGCGAGUGGCGGACGGGUGAGGAAUACAUCGGAAUCUACUUUUUCGUGGGGGAUAACGUAGGGAAACUUACGCUAAUACCGCAUACGACCUACGGGUGAAAGCAGGGGAUCUUCGGACCUUUCGCGAUUGAAUGAGCCGAUGUCGGAUUAGCUAGUUGGCGGGGUAAAGGCCCACCAAGGCGACGAUCCGUAGCUGGUCUGAGAGGAUGAUCAGCCACACUGGAACUGAGACACGGUCCAGACUCCUACGGGAGGCAGCAGUGGGGAAUAUUGGACAAUGGGCGCAAGCCUGAUCCAGCAAUACCGCGUGAGUGAAGAAGGCCUUCGGGUUGUAAAGCCCUUUUGUUGGGGAAGAAAAGCAGCAGAUUAAUACCCCGCUGUUCUGACGGUACCCAAAGAAUAAGCACCGGCUAACUUCGUG